rnacentral:precursor_RNA from 1 species
CAACAACACCACCAACAACAACAAUAAUAAUAAAAGUAUGUGGUUUAGCGUCUGUGUUUAUAAUGUAUAUAUAAAAAAUUUAUGUGCGCAUUUAUUUUGAAAAUCUAACUUAUGAAAAAAGAGUUCAAAAGAAGUAUUUCUCCAAGGUUUAUUAGAGGUAGAUAUGGAGGGAAUGGCUUGUGUGGUCUUUGGCAGACUGCAGGAUUAUUGAUAUUUUGCAUUAUCAUGGAACAUGCUCAUGAAUUGGUUAGGUCAGCAUUUACUUCGUUCUUGUAGGGUAGCAAGUUAAGGCCAUGCCCAUAACCUAUCAAUCAACGACAUGCAUGCAUGCUGGUUCAUGAAUGAAUACAUUUAUACAUGCUUGGUUUCAUGCACAUAGAUGCAUGGAGUAUACAGUAAACUAACCAAGAGAAGUCAGAAGAAGCAAAAGCUAUAGUUAGCACCAUGGCAUGACCAGGUGCAAGAAAAGCAAAGAGGUAAUCAAGCUAAGCUAGCUAUAGAGUGCAUGCCCAUCUCAUGACAGAGUAGAACAGACAGCUAUAUGCAAAUAGCUCACCUUUCGGUACUGAACUGUGGCAAGCAAUGAAAACUUCAGAGGUGUGCGUGGAGACUGCAGAUUUAAUUGGUCGUGUGGUAAGAACAAACCAUGGAGCUCAGGAUAGAUAGCGCCUAGUUUGAUUUCGAGGCGCUAUCCCUCCUGAGCUUCAAGGAUUGUUCCAUACCCUUCCUCAAAACAUCUCU